UCCGCCCUCCACUAGCUCUUCCCAACCACUUUCCAGAGCUCCGGAGUCCCUCUCUACCCUCCAUGGCCACCGUGCCCGUCGUUGGCCUCGUCCUAAAUUGGCUCAAGCCGAGCCCUCCCCUUCCUUUCUUCCACCACCAGUAGAACCCCUCCACCUCGGCGAGUCCCUCCCCUCUCUCCUUUUGUCACCGGAGCAACCAGAUCACCAUGCCCCAACUCUGGCCGAAGCCCCGCCGACAGCCUCUGCUCAAACCCGAGCGAGCCGAGCUCUGUUUCCCCGUCCUACCACCUCCAGUAGCCUCCCCAUGUCCCCUGGAGCCGCCCCAACGCUUCUCCUCCUCCUCUGGUGGCCGUUGGCCGCGAACCCCGUCGGUGCCCGUCGCUACCGUCCACCAUGUCCUCGCUCCCUCUCGCCUCGGUCCUCCCCAGAGCCCGUGCUCUUCGCAGGGGGGUGCGGCUACUCCUGCUGAGCUCGUCCAUAGGUCGAGCGAGGCAGGGGAUGGCCGGAGCUGGCCAGACGAGCUCUCACGCCGGCGACCUCCCUCUGCUCCACGGGCGCGUCGGGAAAGAAGAAGGAGGUGGGAGGAGAGGGUGGACCGAGCGCAUGGACCCCACGGCCCCACCAGUCAGUAACUCGGGGGGUUGACCCCGCUGAUGCUGACGUGGCAAGUGGAGACGUAUUCGGGCGUGUGCGUUUUCAUCUGCAGAAAGCGUAUCACGUGAAGUGCGCUUCCUCUUUGGGGGCUUGUUCGUAAUGAUAUUUUUGUAGAUUAGUCCCUGAACUUCCUCCCCUCACAACUUUUUAGUCGCAACUCCAAAUGAGCCCCCUCCGAGAGAGAAAGAUUUCCGACGAUUCUUUCCGCGAGCUUCUCACACUUCUUCCGAUGAUUUCUUCCACCCCAGGCAAGCCACACCCUCCAUUUGCAUGUUUGCAAUGCAGUGACAUGGUUUAUUCAUUUGAACUUGUGUAAAAUAUUGCAUUAGCUAUGUAUGAUUGGUUCAUGGCAUUUCUCGGAGUAUGGUUUUGAUCUAGAUGUUGCCAUGAUAUUGCCUGGAGUUCUAGGACUUAUGUUUUGAUGAUUAUGUGGGUAUCAUGUGCCUUUGGAUUCUUAGUGUCUAUUAUGAUUAUGUCCAUGAUGGUAUUAUGCUUUGGAGUAUUACUUUGGAUAUCAUGUUUCCUUUGGAUUCUUAGUGGCAAUUAUGAUUAGUUUCAUGAUGAUAUGUGCUAUUAUUUUGUACUAUUACUUUGGAUAUCAUGUUGCCUUUGGAUUAUUAGUGGCUAGUAUUAGUUUCAUCAUGAUGCUAGAUGAUAUUAUGUUUUGAAGUAUGAUGAUGGAAAUGAUGCUUGCUGUGGAUCAUAGUUGGAUAGAUAGUUCUUGAUAUUUGAGUAGUAGCCUUAUCAUUCUUGGAUUCGUCGUAGUAGUGUUAUGCUGUCCUCUGAGUAUUUUUGGAGAGAUGAUAUUAAGCUUUGGAUUAUUUGUUGGUUAUUGCUAUGACUUGGAUUAUAGGUAGAUAGAUGAUAUCGGAGUAUCAGUCAUUACUAUUAUAUUUUGGGGACAAAUUCCGUCAUUAAGUUGGUCAAGUGCCACCGAACCGGGCUUUCUCCAGUGCAACCACAUUUGCUUUUAUGGGAAGGCCCUAAUGCGGUAUACUGUCGUGCCUCUCGCCGGUGCCUCCAACGACGGAAGGUUAUGGGCGUGCGGUAACCUGGCCCGGUAAGCAGACAUAACCUUGUGUGCCUGUUGUUGUUGUUAUGUCCACAUGUCCUUGUUUGGCAUGGUUUAUUGUUUUUGCCACGGCGGUGGUUGUUCUGUCUUUGGUAGACACGGGGCCACCCAGGACUAGCCUAGUGGGGAGUGCAUCGGAUUGGCCGGGAGAGUGCCAUGGCAGUAGAUCAGUUUUGUUGGAACGCCAUUGGUCCACCCGAAUGGGAGUGCAAGGCCAUGGGUUCCGUGGUGUGGGUAAAGUGUGCUACCUCUGCAGGGUGUGUAUUUAAUCUAUCGAUAACCACGUGCUCUGUCAUGGGAAAGGGUUCGUACUAGGUCACACCGUUCGAUCAACACUCACAUGAUGGAAUGACUUGAUAUGUUGAGCAGUAUAGAUUGGCAGGAUGUUGAUGAUCAUGUUGGAGACCAAGUGUUGGUCAUGGUAGUGAUCGCCGGAAGGAUCACCGUUUGAGACCAAGUGUUGGUCAUGGUAGUGAUCGCCGGAAAGAUCACCGUUUGAGGCCAAGUGUUGGUCAUGGUUGUGAUCGCCGGAACAAUCACCGUUUGGUUUUGAUCACGAGGUGAUCGAGAUGGUAUACUGCUUGGCCGGUUAGCCAAGAGAGAUAUGAUUAUGGAGAUCUGAGAUGGUGAUUUAUCAGUAUUGUAUUAGUUUAGUACCAUGCUUAGUAGUUGCUUCAUAAUAAUAGUUGUUAAUUUAAUUAACAUGUUGAAUGCUAUGUAUUGUCUUGCCUUGAUGUUUAUGGUUGUUGUGAGCUUGCAAGUACAUUCAAUGUA